UAGGAAAUCUUCCGCAAUGGACGCAAGUCUGACGGAGCAACGCCGCGUGAGUGAAGAAGGAUUUCGGUUCGUAAAACUCUGUUGUUAGAGAAGAACAGCGCAUAGAGUAACUGUUAUGCGUGUGACGGUAUCUAACCAGAAAGCCACGGCUAACUACGUGCCAGCAGCCGCGGUAAUACGUAGGUGGCAAGCGUUGUCCGGAUUUAUUGGGCGUAAAGCGAGCGCAGGCGGUCAAUUAAGUCUGAUGUGAAAGCCCCCGGCUCAACCGGGGAGGGUCAUUGGAAACUGGUUGACUUGAGUGCAGAAGAGGAGAGUGGAAUUCCAUGUGUAGCGGUGAAAUGCGUAGAUAUAUGGAGGAACACCAGUGGCGAAAGCGGCUCUCUGGUCUGUAACUGACGCUGAGGCUCGAAAGCGUGGGGAGCGAACAGG
rnacentral:rRNA from 1 species